rnacentral:rRNA from 1 species
UCCCAGCACCCCGAGUGGUCGGGACGUUUAUUGGGCCUAAAGCAUCCGUAGCCGGUUCUACAAGUCUUCCGUUAAAUCCAACUGCUUAACAGGUGGGCUGCGGAAGAUACUAUAGAGCUAGGAGGCGGGAGAGGCAAGCGGUACUCGAUGGGUAGGGGUAAAAUCCGUUGAUCCAUUGAAGACCACCAGUGGCGAAGGCGGCUUGCCAGAACGCGCUCGACGGUGAGGGAUGAAAGCUGGGGGAGCAAACCGG